AGGACGAACGCUGGCGGCGUGCUUAACACAUGCAAGUCGAGCGGAAAGGCCCUUCGGGGUACUCGAGCGGCGAACGGGUGAGUAACACGUGAGUAAUCUGCCCCUAGCUCUGGGAUAGCUCCGGGAAACCGGGAUUAAUACCGGAUACGACCACUACGGACAUCUGUGGUGGUGGAAAGAACUUCGGCUAGGGAUGAGCUCGCGGCCUAUCAGCUUGUUGGUGGGGUAACGGCCUACCAAGGCGACGACGGGUAGCCGGCCUGAGAGGGCGACCGGCCACACUGGGACUGAGACACGGCCCAGACUCCUACGGGAGGCAGCAGUGGGGAAUAUUGCGCAAUGGGCGAAAAGCCUGACGCAGCGACGCCGCGUGGGGGAUGAAGGCCUUCGGGUUGUAAACCCCUUUCAGCAGGGACGAAGCGAAAGUGACGGUACCUGCAGAAGAAGCGCCGGCUAACUAACGUGCCAGCAGCCGC
rnacentral:rRNA from 1 species